rnacentral:rRNA from 1 species
ACGAACGCUGGCGGCGUGCUUAACACAUGCAAGUCGAACGGAAAGGCCCGCUUGCGGGUACUCGAGUGGCGAACGGGUGAGUAACACGUGGGUAACCUGCCCUCAGCUUUGGGAUAACUCUCGGAAACGGGUGCUAAUACCGAAUGUUGACAUUGCUCCGCAUGGGGUUUUGUUGAAAGUUUUUUCGGCUGGGGAUGGGCCCGCGGCCUAUCAGCUUGUUGGUGGGGUGAUGGCCUACCAAGGCGACGACGGGUAGCCGGCCUGAGAGGGCGAUCGGCCACACUGGAACUGAGACACGGUCCAGACUCCUACGGGAGGCAGCAGUGGGGAAUAUUGCGCAAUGGGCGGAAGCCUGACGCAGCGACGCCGCGUGAGGGAUGAAGGUCUUCGGAUUGUAAACCUCUUUCAGUAGGGACGAAUUCAGACGGUACCUGCAGAAGAAGCACCGGCCAACUACGU